GUGCUCACUUCGGCAGCACAUAUACUAAAAUUGGAACGAUACAGAGAAGAUUAGCAUGGCCCCUGCACAAGGAUGAGACACAAAUUUGUGAAGCGUUCCAUAUUUUU
ensembl:snRNA U6 U6 spliceosomal RNA